UUACAAACACAAAUUCGGUUGGAGGAUGGAGCUUACCUUCCCUCUGGCAAUACAGAUUACAGUUCAGAUCAAUCAUGGUCUAAGAAAGGCUCAGAGGAGGAAAUGAUCAAGCAAGAACUUCAGGCUGUUGCUGAGGGUGUCGCUGCUUCUGUUCUCCAGUCAUCAACUCCAUCUAAUGCUGACCUUUCCUCACGUGGGAGGAGUGAGUCCCCAUCUUCAAGUCAGCAGAAUG
rnacentral:misc_RNA from 1 species